rnacentral:rRNA from 1 species
CACGUAGUUAGCCGGGGCUUUUUCUUAUGGUACCGUCAUUAUCUUCCCAUAUAAAAGAACUUUACGACUCGAAAGCCCUCUUCGUUCACGCGGCGUCGCUGCAUCAGAGUUCCCUCCAUUGUGCAAUAUUCCCCACUGCUGCCUCCCGUAGGAGUUUGGACCGUUUCUCAGUUCCAAUGUGGCCGUUCACCCUCUCAGGCCGGCUACCCAUCGUCGCCUUGGGUGGGCCGUUACCUCACCAACUAGCUAAUGGGACGCGAGUCCAUCUUAGACCGCCGGAGCUUUGAUCAUUUAUGCAUGUGCAUAUGUGUAUUUCAUUUGGUAUUAAUCCCGGUUUCCGAGGCUAUCCCAAUGUCUAAGGCAGGUUACUCACGUGUUACUCACCCGUCCGCCGCUAACUCCUAUUCAUCUUCCACCCCGAAGGGACUCGUGUUGUAACUUUCAUCGCUCGACUUUGCUAUGUAGUUAGCGCGCCGCCA